UGCCUUCUGAUUAAAAAUAAAAGGUCAAUCCUGCCCAGUGACUUACGAGUUAAACGGCCGCGGUACCCUGACCGUGCUAAGGUAGCGUGAUAAAUUGCCCUUUAAUUGGGGGCCUGUACGAAUGGAUAAACGAGAGUAAUACUGUCUUCUAUUAUAAAACUAAAAAUUAUAUCUUAGGUGAAAAUUCCUAAAUAAGUUCAUAGGACAAAAAGACCCCGUAGAGCUUUGAUAUAAUUUGCUAUAACUUAAAACACUAUUUAUAAAUAACAAAAGUUUCAAAUAUAUCUUAACUGGGGCGGUUAUGGAACAAUAAAUCUUCCAUUAUUUACAAAGAAACACCCCUCUAAUAAAUUGACCCUAAAAUAAAGAUCAAUGAAUAAGCUACCUCGGGGAUAACAGAUUAAUCUUCCUUAAGAGUUCACAUUGACAGGAAGGCUUGACACCUCGAUGUUGGCUUAAGGUACCCAGAAGGUAGCAGCAGCCUUCAAUGGUAGGUUUGUUCAACCUUAAAAACCUU
rnacentral:rRNA from 1 species